rnacentral:rRNA from 1 species
UACGUAGGGGGCAAGCGUUGUCCGGAUUUAUUGGGCGUAAAGAGCGUGUAGGCGGCCAGGUAGGUCUGCUGUGAAAACUCGAGGCUCAACCUCGAGAUGUCGGCGGAAACCGUCUGGCUAGAGUCCGGAAGAGGAGAGUGGAAUUCCUGGUGUAGCGGUGAAAUGCGCAGAUAUCAGGAAGAACACCUAUGGCGAAGGCAGCUCUCUGGGACGGUACUGACGCUGAGACGCGAAAGCGUGGGGAGCGAACAGGA